GACUAUUAGACGCCCACAAGUUCCACAGCAUCAAACAAGUCGUUUACUCCAUAACUCUCAUUCAGAGAGAAUUUCAAGUUCAUAAUUAUCUAGAAAGAUGCUUGUCAGAAAUUUUGAGUUGGUUGCUUGAUGACAAAGGCGGUGGAAGGCUUGUAUAUGAAAAAAUAUGUGCUUAAGUUCCAUGCAUUGAAUCAAGAUGUAGUUGUUUUGCUUCUGCUGGAAGUUGAAUAUAAAUCAAUGUGAGUUGCUCUUCUUUCUUAGUCCUUGUAGUUUGAUAUUAGGCUAUACAAAUUAUAAAUUAAAGGUGGGGAUUUUUGGAUGCUAAUGACCUUUGAUUAUCUGCGUCCAGAUUGACUGGAAUUUACAUUUUGACUAAGUUAAUUGUGGGUUUUGUGCAGUUCUCAUUAUCAUGGUGUUUAUGAAACAUCAAGAAUGUGUUAGAUUUUGCUUCAAGGCAGGCAAGGCUUAUUAGCAGACCACUUAUCAUAAAGCGAAAAGACAAAAUGGCUUGUUUUCACAUGAUGAGAUCAUAAGAGGAUCACCUGGAGGUGCAGUUGUACAGAAAUAAAGCCUCGAUGAACUUCGACGAAUUGUACUUGAUAUAUGCACGUACAACAUCAAGUGGAAGAUACUGCUGAACAAGUCAUGAUAUAGACUUUGAUGACAUUCAAGGAGUGAAAAUGGAUCUCAAGUAUAGGUCAUAGGUGCUUCCUCUUUAAAAAGAUUGCUCCAAAAAUUGAGCAGAUGCCUGCACAACACAAGUUCUCAUGGCAUUUUUUUACGAUUGUGUUCUGGAUAUCCACUACUUCUGGGGAAAUGAUUAAGGCACUUCUGGAAUUUCUGCUAGCUCUUUUUGGGACCAACCCAAAAUACUUGUAUGAGGAAAUUCAGAGGGGGAUCUGGUUUCUGAUUUGGCAGUUGCCAAAGCAACUUAGCAGCAAUGGGCAUGGUCGACUACUUUGUUGGACCAAUGUUUACAUGCUUGUUGGGCUUGGUUGGAACAGUUUUUUUCAUACAAUUUUUGUCCAAAUGCUUAUGAACUCCAUUUCCAUGUGGGAAUUGUAACUGCAUUUAUCUUCCUUUUAUUAAAUUUGAUAGGGUCUCUCACAGUGAUUAGUUGAUACAGAUUCCAGGUGCCAAGGUUCUGGUGCUUGUCUUAUUGGUCUGUAUGUUAUUUUAUGACCGUAAGCUUAGUAAUUGCCAAGUUUUCAGGGUUAUUCCAAUCAUUCGAGGUAUAUGUUGAUUGAGGCUCUACAACAUGACAAUUUUGCUCCCCCAGGUCCAUUAAAUUGAUCACUUCAAAUAUUAAGCUAGUUUUGGAUUCUCUCUCUUGAUGGAAUUUUGGGUUUGUUCAUAAAGAAAAAAAAAAAUUUGCUCCCAAUUUGAUCCGUUGGAUGGCAGUUUG